GCCUGGGUGGCUCAGUCGGUUAAGCAUCUGACUUCGGCUCAGAUCAUGAUCUCGCGGUCUGUGGGUUCAAGCCCCGCGUUGGGCU
rnacentral:tRNA from 1 species